rnacentral:sRNA from 1 species
GCCGGGUGCUGUGGCUCACACCUGUAAUCCCAGCACUUUGGAGGCUUAGGCAGGAGGAUUGCUUGAGCCCAGGAGUUCAAGACCAGCCUGGGAAACAUAGUGAGACCUCGCCUCUACUACAAAUAAAAAUUAAAAUUUAGCUGGGCUUGCUGGUGCAUGCCUGUAGUCCCAGCUACUCAAGAGGCUGAGGUGGGAGGAUUGUUUGAACCCAGGAGAUUGAAGCUGCUGUGAGCUGUGAUCAUGCUACUGCACUCCAGCCUGGGUAACAGAGUGAGACCCUGCCUAA